rnacentral:rRNA from 1 species
GAUGAACGCUGGCGGCGUGCCUAAUACAUGCAAGUCGAGCGAACAGACGAGGAGCUUGCUCCUCUGACGUUAGCGGCGGACGGGUGAGUAACACGUGGAUAACCUACCUAUAAGACUGGGAUAACUUCGGGAAACCGGAGCUAAUACCGGAUAACAUGUUGAACCGCAUGGUUUAACAGUGAAAGACGGUCUUGCUGUCACUUAUAGAUGGAUCCGCGCCGCAUUAGCUAGUUGGUAAGGUAACGGCUUACCAAGGCAACGAUGCGUAGCCGACCUGAGAGGGUGAUCGGCCACACUGGAACUGAGACACGGUCCAGACUCCUACGGUAGGCAGCAGUAGGGUAUCUUCCGCAAUGGGCGAAAGCCUGACGGAGCAACGCCGCGUGAGUGAAGAAGGUCUUCGGAUCGUAAAACUCUGUUAUUAGGGAAGAACAAAUGUGUAAGUAACUAUGCACGUCUUGACGGUACCUAAUCAGAAAGCCACGGCUAACUACGUG